GGAAAGAAAAAACUGCAGUUUGGAGGAAAAACCUUUACAGAAUUGUCUGAUGAAGAUGAUCAAUUAAAUGAAAAGGUCGAUCAGGUUGAAGGAAACAGAACCAAACCUGUUUUAAGUAGAGUGUGCCAUGAAUGGUUCGAUCGUAUUGAUAACCAUUUGGUAUAUUCACACAAAAGCAUUCGUCUCAGUGACGAUUUUAAAAACAAUUAGGCCGCCAUGAUAACGGCGACUGAAGGCUUUACUAACUCCUAUUGUGAUGCUGAACGAAAAUUGUCGGUACAAACCAUCAAAAGCUUUUAAAAAGAUUCCUUUAAAAAGCCAGGUAUAAAUGCAAUAGUGUUAAAAAUUUUUGUAUGAUUUACUAUUAUUUAAGUUCAUACUAAUAAGUUAUUUUCAGUAAUAAGUAUGCAAGAAUAAGUUAGUUAAAAGUUAGUGGAUGAUAAGGUCUCUAAGAAAAAUUUGUUAAAACCAGAUAAUACGGUUGUUAAUUUAUUACUCGAUUUUGUGUUAAAAUGAUAAGGAAAGUAAAUUAUACUUUUUGACCUGGACUAAAUUCUAAA